CGGGCGACCGGCGCACGGGUGAGUAACACGUAUGCGACCUGCCCGUAGCAGGGGGAUAAGCGGAAGAAAUUCCGUCUAAUACCGCGUAAUAUCUUUCGGGGGCAUUCCUGAGGGAUUAAAGGAAGCGAUUCCGGCUACGGAUGGGCAUGCGGCGCAUUAGCUAGUCGGCGGGGUAACGGCCCACCGAGGCGACGAUGCGUAGGGGUUCUGAGAGGAAGGUCCCCCACACUGGUACUGAGACACGGACCAGACUCCUACGGGAGGCAGCAG
rnacentral:rRNA from 1 species